AUGCCUGAUGGCCAGUCCAGCUAUGUGGAUCUACCAAACUGUAACCAUGUCAAUGUUUACUUUGGAAUAUCAGGAAAAAUUCAAAGAAAACUAUCAGAAAUCACACCAGCAGCUGGAAAAACUGAAGAUUGUGUUCAAACAACAUGUGACUGACUCCAAACAACGAGUGACUGAGAUCAAACAACAAAGAGACUUCAUUACAGAGAUGUUGAAGAAAACUGAGGCUUACAUUGAUAGGGAGGAAGAGCGUUUGGGAGGAGAAAUAGAAGAAAUUGAAAAGAAUCUACAAAAACAGAAUGAAUUUAUUGAAUUCCUUGAGGAACUGCAAGCUGAAUUGUAACUUCUGUCUCAGUGAUUUCCCUUUUCUCUGAUUUUCCAUUUCUUUAGUUCCCUUAUCAUAUAGUACUUGUUUAAGUUUGGUUUAAUUUUUUUUUGAAGUGUCCCCCUUCUUUACAAUUUUACAUAAACUAGGAUUUUACUAUUAGCUAUCAUUGUCCAGAUGAUUUUAUGUGUUAAAGAUAAUGUUUAAGGAAUACAUUUACAGAAUUUAGAUUUUUUUUUUCAACCAUUACUUGAUUUCUGCAGUGGAAACAAUGUUUGUAUGACCUGUCAGAUAAUAAAAACAUUGACCUGCUA